rnacentral:rRNA from 1 species
AUGGACGUUGGGUCGUCGUCGACAGCACCACCGCCCCAGGCGGAGAAUCCUCCGAGACCACGGCCCUCGGUGCAAGGAUCAUCGUCGUUCGAGGAGACGGAGACGACACCACCGCCACGGCUCCCACCAGCAGAGAUUUUGGAGCAAGGAUCAUCGUCGUUCGAGGAGACGGAGACGACACCACUACCACGGCUCCCGCUAGCAGAGAUUUCGGAGGAAGGAUCAUCGUCGUUCGAGGAGACGGAGACGACACCACCGCCACGGCUCCCACCAGCAGAGAUUUUGGAGCAAGGAUCGCCGUCGUCCGAGGAGACGGAGACGGAGACGCUCCCGAGGCCAAGACCACGGCCGUCGUGGCCGAGGGAACGGCUCCCGAAGCCCAAGUAUGGGGAGGCCAUCACGGUGCUGAGCAUCGACGGUGGAGGGAUACGCGGGCUCAUCCCGGCGGUCGUCCUCCAGAAACUCGAGGAAAAGCUCAAACUUGUCGAGAAGGAGGACAAUCCUACUGUCAAAAUGGAAAAUAUCCAUAUAGCGGACUACUUGGACGUGAUCGCUGGCACGAGCACGGGCGGCCUCAUAGCGGCCAUGUUGGCGACGCCAGACGAUCAAGGGAGGCCAAAGUACACCCCUCAAGAAAUCGAGGAGUUCUACACCAGACACGGGCCUAAGAUCUUCCCUCCCAAGAGGUGGUGGUGGCGGGGGGCAAUAAUGGGCAUGGCACGCGCGAUCUGUCGUUGUGCGCCCAAAUACGACGGCACGUUCCUCCACGACAAGAUCAAGGAAGUCACGGGCGAAACCAAACUCGACGAAACCCUGACCACACUCGUGCUGCCUACGUUCGACGUCAAGAGGCUGGAGCCUAUCAUCUUCUCAUCAUACAAGGACGACACAGAGACCAAACCGUACCUGUCGGACGUCUGCAUCGGCACGUCGGCCGCGCCCACCUACUUCCCGGCGCAUCGCAUUGAUCGCGCCAAUGGGGGGGAAUACCACCUCAUCGACGGCGGCGUGGCCGCCAACAACCCCACCAUGGCUGCCAUUGCAAGGGUCAUCGGGGAGACUCUGCACAGAAAAGAGGACCUCCACGCCCUGGAUUACAAGAGAUACCUCGUCAUCUCCAUCGGGACAGGGUCUGCGGUGAAGGCAAAGGGGGAAUACACCGCCAAGGGUUGUGCCAAGUGGUCCGACUUAAACUGGGUCAGCAACGGGCGCCGCAAGCCCAUCAUCGACAUCCUCUCCCAGGCCAGCGACGUGUUGGUCGACUGGCACGUCAGCAUGCUCCUACACAACACCCACAAGACCGACCAGGAGCAGAACUACCUCCGCAUCCAGGCUGUGGAUCCAUUGUUCGAGGAGCACAUGUUGUCAAUGGACACCGCGACUCGGGAGAACAUGGAUAAACUGGUCAGCAUCGGCGAGCAGCUACUGAAGAAGAAAGUGGCUAGGGUAGACUUGACCACGGGGGUGUACCAGUUCGACGAGGAGGACCAUGCACGCACAAACGAUGAAGAGAUCGAGCGCUUCGCCCGAUCGCUCGUCAACGAGCGCAUUCUGCGUCUCCAGAACAAAAAAAAGAUAACAAUAUUAAUAAUAAGAAGGCAGUGGCUCGAUAUGGUGAUGCAUUAA